AGACCCGAAACCCGGUGAUCUAGCCAUGGGCAGGUUGAAGGUUGGGUAACACUAACUGGAGGACCGAACCGACUAAUGUUGAAAAAUUAGCGGAUGACCUGUGGCUGGGGGUGAAAGGCCAAUCAAACCGGGAGAUAGCUGGUUCUCCCCGAAAGCUAUUUAGGUAGCGCCUCGUGAAUUCAUCUCCGGGGGUAGAGCACUGUUUCGGCUAGGGGGCCAUCCCGGCUUACCAACCCGAUGCAAACUGCGAAUACCGGAGAAUGUUAUCACGGGAGACACACGGCGGGUGCUAACGUCCGUCGUGAAGAGGGAAACAACCCAGACCGCCAGCUAAGGUCCCAAAGUCAUGGUUAAGUGGGAAACGAUGUGGGAAGGCCCAGACAGCCAGGAUGUUGGCUUAGAAGCAGCCAUCAUUUAAAGAAAGCGUAAUAGCUCACUGGUCGAGUCGGCCUGCGCGGAAGAUGUAACGGGGCUAAACCAUGCACCGAAGCUGCGGCAGCGAACGUAUCACUUAAAGCGAUUCAGCGGGUUACGACUGAC
rnacentral:rRNA from 1 species